UCCAAUGUUCCAAAAUUAGCACAAAUUUAUAUAUUCUUUAUUUCGAGAAAAAUCAAAAUUAUUAGUUUCUCCUCUGCUUCCACCGAUCAUUUACCCAAAUCUCAGCUCCUUUAAGAAAGCCAGAAGAGCCGCCAUGCUCGUACGAGUUAACACUCUACUACAAAAUCAUUGGAGGUGAUGUUCAAGUGGUGUUAGCUGAGGUUUUAUCUGCGAUCUUCGUGGAGGUGAUGAGUGGGAAGCCUGAGUUCACCGAUCAUCUGACUCAUUGUUUGAAGCAUCACCUUGGACAAAUCGAAGCGGCGGCGAUAAUGGAGCACAUCCUCGACGGAAACUUGGUAACAGUGUUUUAUAUCUACAAGGAGCUCAUACUUAAGGAGAUUGAGAUGCGUAGGGGUUGAUUCUUUGUUUUCAAAUUAGGAUUUUUAUGUUACGUAUAUAUUGGAUGGUGUAUUUUGUAAAAUAAUUUUAACUUGAUGUUAAAUGAAGCAAAUGGUAGUUUCUUUA